CCUACGGGUGGCAGCAGUGGGGAAUAUUGCGCAAUGGGCGAAAGCCUGACGCGGCGACGCCGCGUGAGGGAUGAAGGUCUUCGGAUCGUAAACCUCUGUCAGUAGGGAAGAACGGUCACUGUGCUAAUCAGCAGUGAAUUGACGGUACCUGCAAAGGAAGCACCGGCUAACUCCGUGCCAGCAGCCGCGGUAAUACGGAGGGGGCGAGCGUUAAUCGGAAUUACUGGGCGUAAAGCGCGCGUAGGCGGUAUGUCAAGUCAAGGGUGAAAGCCCCGGGCUCAACGUGGGAAGGGCCUUUGAAACUGGAAAACUGGAGUGUGUGAGAGGAUAGUGGAAUUCCAGGUGUAGGAGUGAAAUCCGCAGAUAUCUGGAGGAACAUCAGUGGCGAAGGCGACUAUCUGGUACAUAACUGAUGCUGAGGAGCGAAAGCGUGGGUAGCAAACAGGAUUAGAUACCCUAGUAGUC
rnacentral:rRNA from 1 species